rnacentral:rRNA from 1 species
AUUGAACGCUGGCGGCAGGCCUAACACAUGCAAGUCGAACGAGUGGCGGACGGGUGGGUAAUGUCUGGGCAACUGCCUGAUGGAGGGGGUUCACUACUGGACACGGUAGCUAAUACCGCAUACCAUCAGAUGUGCCCAGAUGGGAUUAGCUAGUGGGUGGGGUCACGGCUCACCAAGGCGACGAUCCCUAGCUGGUCUGAGAGGAUGACCAGCCACAUUGGAACUGAGACACGGUCCAGACGCCUACGGGAGGCAGCAGUGGGGAAUAUUGGACAAUGGGCGAAAGCCUGAUGCAGCCAUGCCGCGUGUAUGAAGAAGGCCUUCGGGUUGUAAAGUACUUUCAGCGGGGAGGCGUUACCCGCAGAAGAAGCACCGGCUAACUCCGUGCCAGCAGCCGCGGUAAUUC